UACAGAGGUUCCAAGCGUUGUUCGGAUUCACUGGGCGUAAAGGGUGCGUAGGCGGUCGGGUAAGUCUGAUGUGAAAGCUCUGGGCUUAACCCAGGAAUGGCAUUGGAUACUAUUCGGCUUGAGGUCUGGAGGGGGGACUGGAAUUCUCGGUGUAGCAGUGAAAUGCGUAGAUAUCGAGAGGAACACCAGUGGCGAAGGCGAGGCCCUGGACAGAUCCUGACGCUGAGGCACGAAAGCUAGGGGAGCAAACAGG
rnacentral:rRNA from 1 species